ACAAACUUGGUCAUUUAGAGGAAGUAAAAGUCGUAACAAGGUUUCCGUAGGUGAACCUGCGGAAGGAUCAUUAACAGAUUUUCGAAUCUACAUAUACCUUGUGUGCAGUUUUUUUGCAUAAAAGUUAAUAACUUUGGAGAGAUUAUUUUUUAUAGUAAUCUUUCCAAAGGGGUUAUCAUAAAUCCAUCUAUUUUGUCUUUUCUUUACUAUGUCUAAAUAUAUAUAUAAAACAACUUUCAACAACGGAUCUCUUGGCUCUCGCAUCGAUGAAGAACGCAGC
rnacentral:misc_RNA from 1 species